GCUGGGCAUGGUGGCUCAUGCCUGUAAUCUCAGCAACUUUGGGAGGCCGAGGUGGGAGGAUCACCUGAGGUCAGGAGUUCGAGACCAGCCUGGCCAACAUGGUGAAACCCCGUCUCUA
rnacentral:SRP_RNA from 1 species